CGACUCCAGUCUACAGUAACAGGCUGCUGUACAAUCAAAAUAUAUACUAAUGGUUAUGCAAAACCAGUCUGAUACCUCUGGUCUCAAGCUUUUCCCUUGCAAUGUAAACCUUACCUGCUGAAGAAUGUUGUGUGAUUUAACCCAGAACUCUUUGCAAAACACUGCAAGAUUCCUGAGGGAGAGCUGAGCUGCUGUGCUUGCCCCCACUGCAUCCCUGAGCUCUCCAUGGCAGAGAUGAGGACCCCCAGAUCCUAAUGCCCAGAAAUCAGGGCAAGUCCAGA